rnacentral:rRNA from 1 species
GACGAACGCUGGCGGCGUGCUUAACACAUGCAAGUCGAACGGAAAGGCCCUGCUUUUGUGGGGUGCUCGAGUGGCGAACGGGUGAGUAACACGUGAGUAACCUGCCCUUGACUUUGGGAUAACUUCAGGAAACUGGGGCUAAUACCGGAUAGGAGCUCCUGCUGCAUGGUGGGGGUUGGAAAGUUUCGGCGGUUGGGGAUGGACUCGCGGCUUAUCAGCUUGUUGGUGGGGUAGUGGCUUACCAAGGCUUUGACGGGUAGCCGGCCUGGGAGGGUGACCGGCCACAUUAGGACUGAGGGACGGCCCAGACUCCUACGGGAGGCAACAGUGGGGAAUAUUGCACAGUGGGCGGAAGCCUGAUGCGGCAACGCCGCGUGCGGGAUGACGGCCUUCGGGUUGUAAACCGCUUUCGCCUGUGACGAAGCGUGAGUGACGGUAAUGGGUAAAGAAGCACCGGCUAACUACGUG